ACGUACACUCCUACGGGAGGCAGCAGUGAGGAAUAUUGGACAAUGGGUGGAAGCCUGAUCCAGCCAUCCCGCGUGCAGGAAGACGGCCCUAUGGGUUGUAAACUGCUUUUAUCUGGGGAUAAACCUACUUACGUGUAAGUAGCUGAAGGUACCAGAAGAAUAAGCACCGGCUAACUCCGUGCCAGCAGCCGCGGUAAUACGGAGGGUGCAAGCGUUAUCCGGAUUUAUUGGGUUUAAAGGGUCCGUAGGCGGACUGAUAAGUCAGUGGUGAAAUCCGACAGCUUAACUGUCGAACUGCCAUUGAUACUGUUAGUCUUGAGUAAGGUUGAAGUGGCUGGAAUAAGUAGUGUAGCGGUGAAAUGCAUAGAUAUUACUUAGAACACCAAUUGCGAAGGCAGGUCACUAAGUCUUAACUGACGCUGAUGGACGAAAGCGUGGGGAGCGAACAGGAUUAGAAACCCGAGUAGUCCCAUGAG
rnacentral:rRNA from 1 species